AGUUGCUGCAUGUUGGUGCGAAUACUGUGCGUUGCUCACGUUUGACACGCAGGACACAAAGAAUGAAAUCACUUGCAGAUCAGUUUGCUGAAAAACACACAGCCAUCUACCAAACGAGGCUAACGGGUCUACUUAAGUGUUCUUUUGUGUGGCAGGACAAGCCUCAAGCUCAUCCAAUUGAGGUUCUUCACUCAAAAGACAUGAUGCACUGGUUGUAAUUGUGCAUGAGAAGUGCAGUUGCAAUGAGCUAACGAAGAAAGAAGACGUCUGCCGGCAAUAUCAGGAAAUGGAAGUUCGCUCAGAGCCGACAGGCUGGGAGAGCGGGUUUUCAUCCACUCCCUCAUCUCAGGAAUCUAAAUAGGUUGAAGUGUGCAAACUACGUUUACAAGGAACUAAAAUCAGACCUCCACGGAAGGAUGAUGUACAGUUGGCCAGAGAGAUCGUACAUCUGUGAAUUAGGCACUCGGACACUGCCUUCCUUGUGUGUGAAACUCUUCUUUGUUUUUCCUGCAUGUUAGUUUUAUACUGACACCUGGUGGCCAAGUCAAGCCACAAUGAAUUAAUUAUGACACACAAUCUAUUUUAAUUCUUUUCAUGUUGUUAAAUGAUCAUUAUGUUUGUAUAAAGUAAAAAUCAACGGUGCAUAUAAAUAGACGAACAUACACACACACACACACACACACACACACACACACGUCUUGUAAAGCUUAUGUCAUUUCCAGCAGCACUUUGACUUCGGGAGGGUUUUGAUGAACACACACUGGCUGCUUGGAUUACGACAUCGUAAGUGUGUGUGCAUGUGUGUGUGUGUGUGUGUAUGUGUGUGUGUGUGUGUGUAAGUGCGUAAAGGGGAAAACAUGCUGACAUGAAGCCAGGCCACAGAACACAGUGGAUCUGAGAGUGUGGUUUCAUCAACCAUGAUAGCGUGAGGAGAAGGCAAAACAAAAACACAUUCCAGAUGUACGUUUCAUACAAUACGUAUUAUGCUCUUAUCUACAGUGGAGGUAUAUUCCCAUAUUUUUGUGCGACAGUUUUAUUUUCAUCUACAACAAGUAUGUUCUAAGAUUGAAAUAAUAAAGCGACAGCAGACUGCACACGAAUAGAUGAUCAUUCUAGCUUUUAAUGAGGUAAUGGCAAAUUUACUAGCCAAAGUGACAGCACAGUGACCUAAUGGGACGCAUAUCCGCCUUCACAUUUCAAGAGGUUCUGGGUUGAAUCUCAGCUCAAGCAACUCCUGCAUAGAGUUUGCAUGUUCCCCUGUUCUUGUUUGGGUUAUUGGGUGUGAAUUUGAGUGUGAAUGCAUAUUUGACUAUAUGUGCCCUCUCAUUGGCUGGCAACCAGACCUUCUCGUCCAAAGCCAGCUGGGGUAGGCUCCAAAUCACCCGUGACCCGAAUGAGGAAAAGGGCGAUUAACCAUGAAUGGAUGUUUAUGUACUGGAUAUUUAAAUAUCUGUCAUAUUAAAAGAGCCAAGCUACUGAAGAAUUAUGGAUAUGCUGCUUGUGCAAUACAAAAUGGAUUUAAUCAUCAACGUUUUUUAUCAUAAUAACUUAUUUUAUUUUAUUAAGACUUAUCAGCUUAUCCUUCACUUGAUCCCAAAAAAUGGAAGAUGAGACUUUAUUUUUGAGACAGUAUGGGUGGGGUAGAGUUUCAAUCUGGCAAUGUGGGCUGAGGCCAUGUGUGCAGGCAUGCCUUUUAAGAAUAUUGAAAACACAUGUCUUGAGCCUUGGAAUAAAAAAAUAAAAAUAAAAUAAAAACUUACGGGCACUGCGUGACUGAUACACAGAUGCAGGCAACUGCACUUCCUACCUACAGGUACAGAAGUGUCACUGAUGGUGUCGCAGUACAUUCACUUGACUUCAGUGCAAGCAGUGCGGGUUCAGUUCAUACUCGGCGACAGUGUGAAUGGUUGUCAGUCUCUACAUCAUAGGUGUCGGGCCAAAACCACAAACCGGUAAGUUACAUUUUGGUAACGUGUGUAUCUCU